AUGACUGAAGAAUAUGAACUUUCUACCUAUGGUCGUCAUGAAUUGAAUUACAAUCAAAUUGCUUUAAGUCGGUUACCAAUCUCCAUAAUGGGAGAUUACACAAUUCAAACAAUUAGGAAUUCAUCAGAAGAUGCUGCUAACGCGACACUACGAUCAGAGACCCUUCGACGAAACUGUGUGCGAUGCAAUAAUCGUAAACGGUGGUGUAAAAGAACCGUCAAAAAAGGUGCAAAACAUUUGCGAUGGCGGAGCCAUUAA
rnacentral:rRNA from 1 species